rnacentral:rRNA from 1 species
UACGAAGGGGGCUAGCGUUGCUCGGAAUCACUGGGCGUAAAGCGCACGUAGGCGGAUUGUUAAGUCAGGGUGAAAUCCUGGAGCUCAACUCCAGAACUGCCUUUGAUACUGGCGAUCUUGAGUCCGGGAGAGGUGAGUGGAACUGCGAGUGUAGAGGUGAAAAUUCGUAGAUAUUCGCAAGAACACCAGUGGCGAAGGCGGCUCACUGGCCCGGUACUGACGCUGAGGUGCG